UCUUAGCAGGCACCCUUAUCCAGGGCAACUUACAAUUGUUACAAGGUAUCACAUUAUUUUUACAUACAAUUACCCAUUUAUACAGUUGGGUUUUUACUGGAGCAAUCUAGGUAAACUACCUUGCUCAAGGGUGUAGGUGUACACCCUGAUUGACUAAUCAUCAGUGUGUUUCAAAUAGUUGCUUUGAAGAAACAACCAUAUGUGUAGGAGAAAGGGGAAGGGAGGAGCAAUAAAGAGGACAUUUAUAACUGAGGAAGUGGUGACUCUGUCAAAACUAGAUGUCACAUGUUGAUUCGGUUUCAGAAUUGAGUAUCCGGGGUGCUGAGAAAUCUUUACUGUUCUUUCUUGCAUUGUUUCGGCGGGUAACUUGCAAAUAUGUCUGACAAACCAAACUUGGAAGAGGUCACAAGCUUCGAUGUAAGCAAGCUCAAGAAGACAGAGACUGCGGUGAAAAACCCUCUGCCGACAAAAGAAACCAUUGAACAAGAAAAGAAAGCGGCUUCAUAAUGGAAACCUACCUUCCAAUGAGAACAGUGCACUCCACAAGAAUUGUUUUUAGCCAUAUAAGUUCAAGAACAGAAAACUAAGUUGCAUUAUGAGUGGAGGAAGACAGAUGACUGCACUACUGUACACCCCUUUUACAACAAGAAGUCAAGAAGACUACACAGUCUGUACUGAGGACCUGCUUUCUUUGGUCCUGUUGCUGGCACGAAAGACUGUGCAUGUCCAUGAGGGGAAAACCAAGGGUGUGACAACAGAGUAUACAACCAGGGAUCCUGUGAUCUGUAAAAUGCUUUGAAUCAAGUGUCUUUUUUUUAAUGAUUAUUUUGUUUUUCUUUUUGUUUUUGCUUCUUUGUUCAAAUGAAUUGAAUUCGUGGAGUGCACAACAUUUUGUGGAAAAUAAAAUGUUUAAAUUUA